rnacentral:lncRNA from 1 species
AAGGAAAUCAUCCAGCGGCUGCCUUCUGCAUGGCAGUGAAGGCGCUGCAGCUCACAAGCUUUCACGACAACGCCCGUUUUUCGAUCGCUGCCUGAGGCGAGCAAAGUUGCUGGAGCAAGACGCGGAGGAGGAGGUACGGCAGCUGCUUCAAAACGGCCUUCACUCGGAAGUUCGCAGACAACUCAUAGACAGCUGGCCAGGCAAUGGGACAACAGAGGCAGCACGGUG